UUGAAUUAUUUGUUGAUAUUUUGAGUGCAGCUUCUUGUUCACACGUAAACGAGUAAUGCAAUAAAUCGAACUCAUUCAAUUGGAAGCAUUGAUUGAAUUUUCCGCCUUGGGCUAUUUAAAUUUCCACAGUCGCUUGACAGCCGCUUGACCUCAAUUAGACCCUAUCUAAUCCAUUUUCCACACGCUUUGUUUUGACCUAAUCACCUUUGCGGCUCAUUGUCGAGGGGUCGGCAACUACCUGAGCAUCGUCAUGCCCCUGAAAUGUUGCAUUUGUCUUAGGCACAUUUCCAGCUUGCAGCAAUUCCAAGAGGUAAUCAUUGACUGGGUUACGCCUUGAAAGAUAUCAUUGUUGUUAUGUUUUAUGCUUGUUGAAGGCUGAGAUUCGGCAUACGACAUAUUCUGGUGUGUUCUUGGAAAUGAAAAUUGGUAAAUGGUCAACUUACCAACUGCUGUUCAAGUUCAGUAAUACUUUGGCUAGAAAUUUUCAUUUUUUUAUCCAUUAAGAAUGAUAAUUGAUUACAGUGAAAUGAAUCUUAAGCCUUUCGUAGAUCGCUUCCUGUCGGAAACAUCGACAGCUCGAGAGACAAUAUGCUAUUAAUUAAGAUGUAAGAGUCGUUAAAGUCAAAUGUUGAACAUUAACGAAGAUCGAUAUGUGGGCACGCAUCGAGGAUGCAGUCGGCAGAUGGGAACCACUAAAACCGCUGCAUAAAAAUUCACAAAGUUGCAUGCCACAAGGCGCAGGCAGAGGCACAGGCUGAGGCACAGGCAGAGAUUCAACGCGAAGUUCGACUUGCACUGUAGCUCAAACGACGACUGAUAAUAAUGACGCUGCAUAAAUUGCGUUUUAAUGUCAACAAAGAGACAAAUAUUAUAAUAUCUCAGCUCGACACGAAGUCUCCCAGUACCAGUGCCAGCCCCCUGGCCAGAUGUCAAAGUGCGAGCGCAAACGUGGAGAAUUAUUUGCGGCUGCCGAAAGAUAUUUCCUGUGGCAACUUUCCAUACCACAUGCAACUUGCUGUCGUUGUUGUUGUUGUCGUUGCCACAUCUAAUGGAAAUUUAUGCUGAAAGCAUGCUCCAUCUUCGUUCAUGCCAUCAACUAAAAGUCAAUCCACUCCUAUGCCCCUCACCAGCUGAACCUAGUUGACCAGCCAGCAACAAUUUGUAGGCAUUUUCCUAUUGAACUGCCCCAAACGUCGACAUUACAAAUUACACUACGCAACAUAAAUUACUUUUUAUUCAAAACAUUAUGCACUAGAGAUCUUUCCAUAUUCAUAUUAAAUGUAAUUCAAGUCAAUUAUUUAAUAUUUAAUUCUGCAAAUAACAUGAAUUGAAAUCAA